rnacentral:rRNA from 1 species
AACGAACGCUGGCGGCAUGCCUAACACAUGCAAGUCGAACGAUGCUUUCGGGCAUAGUGGCGCACGGGUGCGUAACGCGUGGGAAUCUGCCCUUGGGUUCGGAAUAACAGUGAGAAAUUGCUGCUAAUACCGGAUGAUGUCUUCGUACCAAAGAUUUAUCGCCCAGGGAUGAGCCCGCGUAGGAUUAGCUAGUUGGUUGGGUAAUGGCCUACCCAAGCGACGAUCCUUAGCUGGUCUGAGAGGAUGAUCAGCCACACUGGGACUGAGACACGGCCCAGACUCAUAAGGGAAGCAGGAGUGGGGAAGAUUGGACAAUGGGCGAAAGACUGAUCCAGCAAUGCCGCGUGAGUGAUGAAGGCAUUAGGGUUGUAAAGCUCUUUUACCAGGGAUGAUAAUGACAGUACCGGGAGAAUAAGCACCGGCUAACUCCGUG